CUCCUGAUAGCUCAGUUGGUAGAGCGAUGGACUGUAAUAGAAAUUUCAAUUCCUGUUUUCAACACACGUUGGAGAUCCACAGGUCGCGUGUUCGACUCACGCUCGGGAGA